UACGUAGGGCGCAAGCGUUGUCCGGAAUUACUGGGCGUAAAGCGUGCGUAGGCGGUUUGUUAAGUCCGUUGUGAAAGCCCUGGGCUCAACCUGGGAAUUGCAGUGGAUACUGGCGAGCUAGAGUGCGGUAGAGGAUGGUGGAAUUCCCGGUGUAGCGGUGAAAUGCGUAGAGAUCGGGAGGAACACCCGUGGCGAAGGCGGCCAUCUGGACCAGCACUGACGCUGAGGCACGAAAGCGUGGGGAGCAAACAGG
rnacentral:rRNA from 1 species